GUAGGGAAUCUUGCGCAAUGGGCGAAAGCCUGACGCAGCCAUGCCGCGUGAAUGAUGAAGGUCUUAGGAUUGUAAAAUUCUUUCACCGGGGACGAUAAUGACGGUACCCGGAGAAGAAGCCCCGGCUAACUUCUUGCCAGCAGCCGCGGUAAUACGAAGGGGGCUAGCGUUGCUCGGAAUUACUGGGCGUAAAGGGAGCGUAGGCGGAUAGUUUAGUCAGAGGUGAAAGCCCAGGGCUCAACCUUGGAAUUGCCGUUGAUACUGGCUAUCUUGAGUAUGGAAGAGGUAUGUGGAACUCCGAGUGUAGAGGUGAAAUUCGUAGAUAUUCGGAAGAACACCAGUGGCGAAGGCGACAUACUGGUCCAUUACUGACGCUGAGGCUCGAAAGCGUGGGGAGCAAACAGGAUUAGAAACCCUUGUAGUCC
rnacentral:rRNA from 1 species